AUGAAUUUAUGAUGUUGAGUGUGUAAAUAUUUUUAUAUGUCGUCUCUUCUCGUCACCACAUUGAACUAUUCAACUUAAAAUCUUCAUUCAAAUCAAUCUCCACCAAUCCAGGUUAUUCCAAUACUACCGAAGAAGUCACCGUCCCCAAGACCUAUGAAUGGACCUAUCAUGCAAGUGAUCACUCAACCUGGCAGAUAGUCUGCAUCUACCAUCUAGUGUGCACUAGUCAUUGUGCCAAUAGAGACAAGUAAUUUUAUGAUUAUUAUUUAGUUCUUAAUUCUAUUUUUGUUUUUUGUUAUUGACAUCAUAUUUUUGUAACACCUACAUUACACACAUUACAAGGAUACAAAAGGUUGGAUCCAUCUUCUGACUAAGGAGAUAUAUGUACUGAACAAAUACUAUAAGUCUUUAACCUUAGUGUUACUUGAUGGAAUAAAUAUUAUUCUACAUUAUUUGUGUCAACACUUUUCAUUGUCAAGUAGAAGGACUUGUCAUACAGACAACACAACAAGCACAUGUUAAUGGAGUGAAGACUGAAGAGUAAGAGCCAAGGAGUACAACUCACUGCUAAUGACAUUGUGAAUCAAGUCCUUGCACAACUUUUUGCUGCUAUAGUUGUUUGGGCAGGGCUCCAAAGGUUCCACAUACAUCUCGUGUAGACACGACUCAACGAGAACACACCGAGCUUCACAAAGCUGUGCAUAACUUGAAAGGCUAGAAUUAGCUUAUCCUCGCCUUGUUAGAAGAGAUAAUCCCAGGUGCUACAGCUAGAAUAGGCAGUUCUAGAGUUCCAACUACUCAUUCAUCAUCAUCACCUGAUCACGAGGCUUGCGAUGAUCAUUAAUUUAGAGUUCUUCUAUCCCAUUUACAUGUUUUUAUAUUUUGAUGGUUAAUACUCCGUCAUUACAUGUGCUAUUAUUUUGGACUAAACUAGCCUUCUCAUCUUUGAAACUUGACUAGUUUUUAUUUUAGAUACCAUUAUAUUUGGACUCUAUGUGCU
rnacentral:lncRNA from 1 species